UUGUAAUUGGAAUGAUAGAAAUUUAAACCCUUUUUAAAGUAUCAAUUGGAGGGCAAGUCUGGUGCCAGCAGCCGCGGUAAUUCCAGCUCCAAUAGCGUAUAUUAAAAUUGUUGCAGUUAAAAAGCUCGUAGUUGAAGUUCUGCUGAAAGUAACCGGUCUGCUUUUAAUAAAAGUGGUAUCUUGGUAUGUAUUUAGCAAUGAUGUCCUUUGAAGUGUUUUUUACUUUAUUGUAAUAAAGCAUAUUCAGGACUUUUACUUUGAGAAAAUUAGAGUGUUUCUAGCAGGCUGACGCUUUGAAUACUGCAGCAUGGAAUAAUAAGAUAGGAUUUUAGUUCUACAUUAUUGGUUUUAAGAGCUAAAUUAAUGAUUGAUAGGGACAGUUGGGGGCAUUUGUAUUUAACUGUCAGAGGUGAAAUUCUUAGAUUUGUUAAAGACAAACUACUGCGAAAGCAUUUGCCAAAGAUGUUUUCAUUAAUCAAGAACGAAAGUUAGGGGAUCGAAGACGAUCAGAUACCGUCGUAGUCUUAACUAUAAACUAUGCCCGA
rnacentral:rRNA from 1 species